rnacentral:rRNA from 1 species
GAUGAACGCUAGCUACAGGCUUAACACAUGCAAGUCGAGGGGAAACGAUGAGAGAGCUUGCUCUCUUAGUCGUCGACCGGCGCACGGGUGAGUAACGCAUAUCCAACCUGCCUCUGACUAAGGGAUAACCCGUCGAAAGUCGGACUAAUACCUUAUGCAGUCGUCGGAAGUCAUCUGAUGACGACGAAAGAUUUCAUCGGUGAGAGAUGGGGAUGCGUCUGAUUAGCUUGUUGGCGGGGUAACGGCCCACCAAGGCGACGAUCAGUAGGGGUUCUGAGAGGAAGGUCCCCCACAUUGGAACUGAGACACGGUCCAAACUCCUACGGGAGGCAGCAGUGAGGAAUAUUGGUCAAUGGGCGAGAGCCUGAACCAGCCAAGUAGCGUGCAGGAUGACGGCCCUAUGGGUUGUAAACUGCUUUUAUGCGGGGAUAAAGUGAGGGACGU